GAUGAAGAACGUAGCGAAAUGCGAUACGUAGUGUGAAUUGCAGAAUUCAGUGAAUCAUCGAAUCUUUGAACGCACAUUGCACCUCUCGGUAUUCCGGGAGGUAUGCCUGUUCGAGCGUCAUUGGUACCCUCAAGCUCUGCUUGGUGUUGGGUGUUUGUUCCGCCUCUGUGUGUGAACUCGCCUCAAAACAAUUGGCAGCCGGCGUACUUGUUUCGGAGCGCAGCACAUUUUGCGAUCCAGAUCAACGUACAGCGGCAUCCAAGAAGCCUUAUUUAACGCUCUUGACCUCGGAUCAGGUAGGGAUACCCGCUGAACUUAAGCAUAUCAAUAAGCGGAGGA
rnacentral:misc_RNA from 1 species